CCUCAGUGCACUCAUAUUUUUGCUUUCAUUUAGGUUUUCACUAGUGAGUUCACAAAGUACUGUAUGCAUCUGUUUGAAGAUGGGCAGAAAUCUUGUGACCAUCUCACUGCCUUCCCAAGAGGAAAAUUUCAGAGCUGGCAUGUCCAUUAUGCAAGUAACGGAUUUCAGAAGAAGAAUUUUGAGGCUGGGUGCGGAGGCUCAUGCCUGUAAUCCUAGCACUUUGGGAGGCCGAAGCAAGUGGAACACUUGAAGUCAGGAGUUCAAGAACAGCCUGGCCAACAUGGUGAAACCCCGUCUCUACUAAAAAUACAAAAAAAAAUUAGCUGGGCAUGGUGGUGGACGCCUGUAAUCCUAGCUACUCGGAAGGGUGAGGUGGGAGAAUUGCUCGAACCCAAGAGUCAGAGUUUACAAUGAACCGAGAUUGCGCCACUGCACACUCCAUCCAGCCUGGGCGACAGAACGAGACUCCAUCUCAAAAAAAAAAGAAGAAUCUUAAAGAACGAUAGAACAUGUACGUGGAAGAGGAAGAUAGAAACAAAGGAAGUGGGAGAACUUCAGGCUUAGUAAGCUGUGCAGAAAAAAUUACCACUGAAAUGGGUGUGGGAAGAGACAAAGAGCAUUCAGGAGGAAAAAUGGCUGAGAAAAAGAGGGAAGGACAAUAGGGAAUGGAGAUGUUUAGAAAUCACCAUAGAAAAUAACAAACGUCGAGUGGAAAACUUUCCUUUUCUCCAAAUGACUUGCUCAAGUUCAUUCUGUUUUUUUGUUUGUUUGUUUUUGAGAUGUCUGAUGCCCAGGCUGGAGUGCAAUGGCACAAUCUCGGCUCACUGCAACCUCCGCCUCCAGGGUUCAAGUGAUUCUCCUGCCUCAGCCUCCCAAGUAGCUAGGAUUACAGGCACACACCACCACGCCCAGCUAAUUUUUGUAUUUUUAGUAGAGACAGGAUUUCACCAUGUUGGUCAGGCUGGUCUCGAACUCCUGACCUCGUGAUCUGCCCGUCUUGGUCUCCCAAAGUGCUGAGAUUUCAGGCGUGAGCCACCGUGCCCGGCCAAGUUCAUUCUUUAGCAGGCACUGGAAAGCUGGGAAAAAGCUGUUGGCCACGUACUCAGAAGAAUCAAGCUCCUCAGCAAGCUACUCAUAAAAAGUAUCUGUCUCAACCUGUUCACCUUCACCUCUCACCUGGUCUAGAAUUUUAACCUCUUCUCUCAUUCCUUUGGAUGGCAAACCAAAGUAUCAAUAAAAAACCAUCAUUAAGACUUUUUGAGGUAGGGAAGAGGCCCUGAAGGUUAUUUUAGUGUAGCACAAUGGAAUUUAUCAGAUUCACUGGUACUGUUUGAAAACACCAAGAGCCUGAUAUGGUCCACAACAAAGUGUUUGCACUGAGGGAAUUACAGGAAGAGGAAAGAUUGUAACUCAACGAUUGUACUCCUAAGGCUGCCUUCUAAGUAGGAGUCUCUAGAAAGCACCACACCUAGCAAAGUAGGCCCUGGGAUCUGAUUCCGGAAGCACACUCUUAGAGAGGGCAAGAGUAACCAAAGUGAAGACUAUGGAAAAGCAAGAAGUAC
rnacentral:lncRNA from 1 species